UACAGAGGUCCCAAGCGUUGUUCGGAUUCACUGGGCGUAAAGGGUGCGUAGGCGGUCGGGUAAGUCUGAUGUGAAAUCUCACAGCUUAACUGUGAAACUGCAUUGGAUACUAUCCGGCUCGAGGAAUGGAGGGGAGACUGGAAUACUUGGUGUAGCAGUGAAAUGCGUAGAUAUCGGGAGGAACACCUGUGGCGAAGGCGGCCCCCUGGUUGGAUACUGACGCUGAUACGCGAAAGCGUGGGGAGCAAACAGG
rnacentral:rRNA from 1 species